rnacentral:rRNA from 1 species
GACGAACGCUGGCGGCGUGCUUAACACAUGCAAGUCGAACGGUGAAGCUCCAAGCUUGCUUGGGGUGGAUCAGUGGCGAACGGGUGAGUAACACGUGAGCAACCUGCCCCAGACUCCGGAAUAAGCGCUGGAAACGGCGUCUAAUACUGGAUAUGAGAUCAGUCCGCAUGGGCAUGGUCUGGAAAGUUUUUCGGUCUGGGAUGGGCUCGCGGCCUAUCAGCUUGUUGGUGAGGUAAUGGCUCACCAAGGCGACGACGGGUAGCCGGCCUGAGAGGGCGACCGGCCACACUGGGACUGAGACACGGCCCAGACUCCUACGGGAGGCAGCAGUGGGGAAUAUUGCACAAUGGGCGAAAGCCUGAUGCAGCGACGCCGCGUGAGGGAUGACGGCCUUCGGGUUGUAAACCUCUUUCAGCAGGGAAGAAGCGAAAGUGACGGUACCUGCAGAAGAAGCACCGGCUAACUACGUGCCAGCCGCCGCCGUAA